AACAGGAGCGGGAUCUGGCGGAGCGCGUGCGUUACGCACCUGAACAGGACAGCUGAAGAGAGACGGGAGGUGUGGGGAGCAGAGAGUGAGGAAGGAUGAGCAGCAAUGGAUCGUGGCCGGGACUCGAACUGGCGAUCACUGUGGGCUCCUUUGAUCAGUAACGCUUCCAUGCAACGCAUUCUUCUCAGCUCACUUGCAGCGCCUGCAUCGCCACAAUGCUCCCCCCACACACUGCUGGGAUUAACCAACACAUCUUCUGCCCUGGAGGCCUGAAGAAGUCACCAGAGAGGAACCCAAGAUGCAGGAACUAACCAGUAGAGACCAGAGUCCCCAGAUGGAGAGAAGAAGGUAGCCCUCGUACAAGACUGAAGAAGGCCACUCACAUCAUUAUUUCUCUUAAGGACAACAAGUUGUCUCAUCAAAGCCAUUUUCAAUUUGAAAGUGAUGGAAAAGCUGGUAAUUACAAUUCUGCAAUCCUCAGAGAGACGUGUCUAAUCAGACUGAGCGGAGCCUGAGUGGACUCCUCUCAUGCAUCAGCUACAGCAGCUUAAUGAGACAGAGGUUCUACUGAAGAAGAAACAUCUGCCGGCUUGUGUUGGAUGUGGCAGUGCCGGGAAGAGAAGAGCUGGCACGGGAGAAACUGCAGAUGGCGUUUCAGAUAAAAAUUGUUUCUUACAUGUAGCUGCUGCCAAGGAUGAACUUUGUUCAUUGGCAGGGCAGGUCAAGUUAUAGAUCAGCAAAGAUUGAAGGGAUUGUAACAAGAUCAUUGACCAAAUAGGCCACAGGUUAUUUUCACCAAUUAUUCUACUAAUUACAUUUGGAGGCUGCCUGGAAACUCAAUUAAAUCAACACCAUCAAUAUGGAUUGAUUGGUCUAGAGUUUACAGAGGGACUCAACUGGUUCUACAUUUGAAUUAGAUUAAUAAAAAAAAAAGAAUGGUGAAAUGUGUGUCCAUGUAACAUCCAGACCUGCUUUAAGAGAGGCCUGCAUCGUUCGACUCAUCCAUUUCCCCUGACUGCCUCCCAAGGCGGGAUUUAGUUGUCUUCCAAACACUUCACUCAGAGAAGUUGCUCUCAGUCCCAAAAACAGCAACUCACAAAACAGGCCCAACAUCUCUCAAAGAGUCAUUUAUAUGUUAAAUAACGACACAAUGACACAAAGAAGGAAAAGGAAGACAACCAAAUCAACUCAAGGGUCGCAGGAUCAGGAUGCUUUCAUCUAACCUAUACCCGCAACAUAUCACCGGUUGUAACUCAUUUGAAGCAACAGAGAGGAUCAACAGAGGUUUAACACAAAACAAACAACAAAACAGAGAACUACAUAAAAAUGUUCAAAACAUAGCAACAGCUUCUAUAGUGCUAAAGCAUAUAGAGAGGGAGAGAGAAUUCCAGCUGAAGACAAGAACGUGACGUGACAGGACAUGUUUUUGCAAGAGCUGGAUGGUUUUGGAAUGGGAACAGA